rnacentral:lncRNA from 1 species
UGGGUUUUGCUAGGCACCCUCACCCAGUUUCAGCGAGAUUAAGACUUUGAGAUCUACAGAUGACGCGAUACCACCUAUGUGUGUGUGCGUGCAGAUGAAUUCUUUCUGAAGUAGUGUGAUUACUGUCUUUUUAACCAGGGCUUCCAUUUGCAAAGGCAUGUAACUUGAGGUCAACUUUACAAAUCAAUGACAUUUACAUCCUUCAGAGUACAUUAAUGUGAUAUUCCUCUGUGCCCCCAGUGGUCUCCAUUUCUGUAAUGCUACACGUUCAGGUGUUCGAUUUAUUUUUCAGGCCAUCUCUCUUCCAGGAGCUAAAACAGUAUUUUGCUUGAAUUCAGCAGCACCUUAGGUGCCCUGGUAGUGAAGAGCUAUAAUAGCAAUGCCAAAACUGCAUUUGCUCUGAAUGCUGGUGGUCUGGCGGGUAGGUUUUAGUGAGAAUCUAGCAAGUGACCAAUCCCAGGAUGAGUGAUGGGAAUGUGGUCUCUGAUAGGAUUCGAUGCCAGACCCCAGGGCUUAACGGCUCAGUCGGGAGGCUGAUGAGCAAGGACACACUGCAUCACCAGCUGAUUAAGUGCUGAGGGAUGGAGCCGUGGAAGCCCUGAGGGGGACACGUGGCCUGGCCUGAGAGCGUGAGGAAGGUGUCCAGAGGAGGAAAGUGCUGGAAGCCUGCAGACAUGUGCAAGAGAGUCUGCUAGGAAGCUCUAGAUCUUCUGUCCUUGUAGAUGAGAAUUUUUUGACAUCUGUAGUUUUCCACGGUAUCACACAACCUUGCUCAUACAAUGAUUUUCCAAUAAAUAUUCCCUUAUUCCCCUUUAAGGAUUUCUGCAGGCAGUGGACAAAAAUCAUAUUUGCACUGCAACGUCAAAAGGUAUCUCUGCUAAAUAAAGUAGGUGCUAUACAAAGAACAUGUUAUCUGUCUAGUUCUUGCCUUCUAGAACCUUGCUGUGACUGUGGUUUGUGUGGAAUAUGUGUUGAUAGAACAUCCAGACCAACGUAUUCAUUUAUGUACGAUAUACAGAAGCAUCGUGUAGGUACUAGAUCUAUAGCACCACUCUUGGACCAGGGCUGCCUGGCCCCCUCUUCUGGGCCCCUGCACUUGAGAGAACUUUGUUCCAGUCCUCCUCUGGUGUGUCCAUCUCAGAAGAGCAGGAUUUCAGGCUUCCGAAGGCUUGAUCAUAUUCCGGGAGAUUCAUGUAUUGAUUAUGCUUAAAUGUAUAAUUUGGAUAAUCACACAUGGAAAUCCAGAAGCGAAUGCUGUUCACCAGAGAAACAAGAGCUUUGCUGUUGCACUUUUGGUGGGAGCAUACCAUGUACUUUUCUGUCCUUUGAUAUCUUUCACUUAUGUAAUUUUGGAGACUUUCUGGAACAGAAUGUCGACAUCAACCUCAUUUCCAGUGCUCCGUGGUUUUUCAGGAGGCGCUCUUCUUCAGCGGGUGCAGCCAGGCCCCUUGGUUGAGCAUGGGCUGGAGGGCUGCCCAGACCCACACAAUAGCCUCGGCCCCAUGAGGCUGCCUUGGGCCGCAUCUCGGCCACCUGAUACUCCGCUUCCGCCAGCCUGGAGAACCAAGGCCUCUUCAGCCCUGCACUAACGCCAUCCUCAACUCUGUUUCCUGAUUUUAUCUUCUUUAAUUCAUUAAACAGC